GUUCGUGUGACGGCAGAUCCAAGCACCGUCUUCACGCGGCCAGGUGUCCCAUCUCUUCCAGGAGACAUCCUAAGAAUCAAUCACUUUCUUCAGUGACUACUGGGCGCUAACUACCCUGAGAAAUCUGGACCUCCAGUACAGAAGGGAUUUGUUACCCGUGAAACCAGCACCACUGGAACCACCGAUGAACCACAGGACUGCGCAGAAGAUUCAGGUUCCUUUUUAUUCAGGAGCACGUCUUUUCAUAACGCCAAUGGUGAGCAUUGUCAAGAUCCAUUCAUUCAUCAGGGGCUGCAAAAUGAUGAUAUGCUAUCAUCCCUUCCUUAUUUGCUAGCUGAAUGCUUCUACAAAAAGAAACUUCUCCUCAUCAACUAUUUGGUUACCCUUAAUGGCAGUGUCCAUAUAUACUCCAGUUGCUGAGGCCUCCAUGGGCUGCGAGCCGUGCAGACAGUCGCCGUCGCUGCGUCGCGGAGGUGGGAUGGGGGAGGGAGGUUCGCUGCUGCUUCAAGGCCCGGGCCCAGCCAGUGGGUGGCCGUUGAGAGGACGCCGGGGGCCACAGCCCUGAGCCUGUCCCCGGGCCCCUCAGCUCCCCUGCUGGCCCCGAGGCAGGAGGACCUGGAGGGCCCAGGGAAGAAGGCCGGAUCUUCCUCUCAACUGCACUCUCUGCCAUGGGGACCACUGCGAGGCUGACUGCCAAGUGGUAUUUUCUUAAAGCUUAGUUGCAAUGUAGAAUGUGAAACCAUCACAUUCAACUUUUCAUAACUCUAUUAUAGUAAACAGUGGUCUAUUUCACCUUUGAA